rnacentral:rRNA from 1 species
UACGUAGGGUGCAAGCGUUGUCCGGAAUUAUUGGGCGUAAAGAGCUCGUAGGCGGUUUGUUGCGUCGGCUGUGAAAUCCCGAGGCUCAACCUCGGGUCUGCAGUCGAUACGAGCAAACUAGAGUGUUGCAGGGGAGACUGGAAUUCCUGGUGUAGCGGUGAAAUGCGCAGAUAUCGGGAGGAACACCGGUGGCGAAGGCGGUUCUCUGGGCCUGUACUGACGCUGAGGAGCGAAAGCGUGGGGAGCGAACAGG